AUGUGCUUGUUCAACACAUAGAUACUAAAAUUGGAGCAGUGCAGAAAAAAAAUAGCACAGCUCUUGCACAAGUAUGACAUGCAAAUUCACGAAGCAAUAUCAAUACUA